rnacentral:lncRNA from 1 species
GCCGGAUCUGCCGGGACCGACACCGGAGGAGAAAAAUGGUAAAAAAUAACCCAAAAGAAACGCAAAUAAAUUAAAUUCCCAACGAGUCCCACGGACCCAGGCCAGAGGCGCCUGCCUACGGUACUUGAAAAAAAAAAAAAAAAAAAAGGGGAAAAAAAAAAAAAAAAAGGUCAAAAAAAAAAAAAAAACAAAAAAAAUUGAAGUACAAAAGAAAAUAAAAUACAGAUCCACGAUCACGAGUGUCUGGGAAGCAACAGCAAGGGUGGAGGAAGCAGAGUGGGAGGAGGUGGAUUUUGUUUUUUGUUCUUCAGAUUUCUUCCACGCUGCGAGCGAAAAUCAAAAACCCUAAAAAUGCCGAGUCUGGGAAACCCACCCCCACAAGCCAUCCCAAAGUGGAUUUUUAGAAAUUUUUUUUUCUUUCUUCAGAUUUCCUCCAGGCCGUGAGCGAAAAUCCCAAACCCUAAAAACGCCGAGUCAGGGAAAACCACCCCGCCGCCGUCCCGAGGCGGAUAUUUUCAAUUGAAACAUCUUUUUUUUCACCUUUUUUCAGAUCUCCUCCACGCCGUGAGCGAAGAUCAUGACGAGCCCCGGCUCCAGCACCAUGUCCUCGCCCAUGUGCUGGUUCUCGCAGGCCAUCACCACCACGGCCUGCUUGCCGGGGAUGCGUUUGGCCACGUAGUUCUCGUAGUAGCGCCGGUUCAUCUGGCGCGUCUCCAGCGUGGCCAGCCCCUGGGGCCAGUUGCGCUCGUGGGCGUUCUCGAUCAGCUCGUUGGUGAUGGACGCCGGGCAGCCGCUCUCCACCAGCGAGCGCUUGAUCACCGCCUGCAGCACGGCGUCCGGCGUGGAGAUCAUGCCGCCCCAGCGCGUCACCCGCG